UUGACUUUAAAUAACAUUGGCAUUUAAGUUAAAUUGAGAUCAUUCAAGAUGUGUUUAUGAAAUGUAUGUUUUCUGUGUUGUAUCUCAGAGAAAGACAUCAUGUCUGUGGUGGAAAAGAUACCAGAGGCGGUGGGGAUGGCCCCACUGGUGAUGGGGGGCUGUGAUGCCAACCGAUGAAAAAUGUGUGGGAGAUCCGAGCCAGAGACAACAACUCUAAAAUCACGAGUGAGCAGGAGAGACUGGAGCAGAGUGCUCUGGCAACGAUUAAUGAAGACUGGUAUACAUGUAUGACCCUCAAGGCACCACCCAAGAGGGUAAGAAGGAGAGACAAGCCAGAAGAAACUGGACAAGUUACUCCAUAUGACACAGAAUGAACCUGUUCAAAUGAAGUGGACUAAGUCAUGGAAGUGCUCAAAAACACUUCGUAAGCCAGAAGAGGGUGAGACAACACCAGCCGACCGGGACCAGUCCUGGAAGUUUGAGUCAUCAGCCUCACAUCAAGGGUAAGAAACACUGGACAGAGCAUGAUUGCUCCAAUAAUAAUGUCAAAAAAUGUGAGCCUUUGGAAGAUGGAUAGCAGAUUGGUGGAGACCCAGCACUUUGAGCACAACCUACCCAUGCCUGAAUGGGAAAUGUCCUGGAAGAAGUGCCACAUCAAGCAUUAAACAGAAGCAAAAUAAGGCACAGCCAAUGGUUGUUCUCCAUACCAUGAAGGUGGCAGACGUCACUCAAAAGCCAGAAUGUUCAAGAAGCUCGUGGCAUCCCAACAAGGCAUUGUCCUCAUCUGAAUGGACCGAGGGUUGGAAGACAACAAAGCCUUCAAAAGGUGACGAGGCUCAUGCCGAUAAUGGGCCUACUGAUCAAAAGCCAAAGGUAGAGGAAAAAUCAGGACCCCAGUAUGGUGAAAGUUGGAAGUUCAUGAACCACGGACUCCAGAAAUCCCCAGCCAACAAAUCACCUGCAGUUUCAACAAACCCAGAAUGGUCCGGGUCUUGGAGGGCCGCUACGAAUCCGCCAAAGGAAGUGAAGAAACCAAAGUCUUACGAGCAUGUUGUCUUACACAAGGAUUCAAAAGAGUACCCUCUGCACAAGAUCAUAGUGUGUGUUUCACAUGAGCAGAAGUACAGAGAUCUGUGGAGUUCCUUGUUGUGUGAGGAGUACAAACCUCAUUCUUCUAAAUGGAGCAAGUCUUGGGAAGUAGCAAAGAAUUAGACCAAGCACAGUGCAGAGGCAGACAUGAAGGUAGAAGAACACAAGAAUGUUGAGGAUCACAAGGCUGAGAAGCCCAAGGAUGUCAAGCCGGGGGUUGAGAAAGGCAAACUGAAAUAUGAUUAGAUGCACAAGGUCAUGCACAGCCGCAAGGUAAAGUCAAAGAUGGCCAAGUAUAAUAACUUGUGGUCCACUCUUGCUCCACCAUGAUAUUCCCAAAGAGUGGCAUGAGGCCUGGAAACUUCCAAAGCCUCAGUGUCAUGGAGAGUGGUUAAAGCAUGAUAUGCCAGAUGUAUCGAUGGUCCUCAAGAAGCACAUGACGAAUAGAUCUUUGCCAGAUUGGAGUGAGUCUUGGAAAUGUGCAAGAACCCACUCCCGCCAAGGCCAGCCCUCAGUGGCUCAAUGUAAAAAGUCCUGGUUCUCAAGAUAUCAGCCACAUAAAGGAGAAUACGGGUUGAAGGAGGCAGGGCAUGAGAACCACUCUCUGCACCACCCCAAACAUGAGGUGUUCCAUCUGCCACAGAGGUGCCAUACUCCAAAGAUGCAUGGUCUCUCACACCACACGGAAAGGGAAAAGGAAAGGAAGGACGGCUGGAAAUGCCCACACUUCAUGACUGCAAACUGGGCAGAGGAACAGCUAAAGGAACACCCCAUGGAGAUGUAUCCCAGAAGAGAGAAGUUCUAAGGUAAAGCUCAGCACAUCCUUUAACUUAAAGGUUUUCCAUCAGCAGUAUCUCCCAACUCUGUUGUGUGAAUCACGGAAGGGAGCUCAUCUCCAACACCACCAGAAAAAAUCUUCCAUCCUUACGUCCUCACGUUACCAUGUUAAAAGCACAAAGGCUUCGAUCUCAGAGUGGAAGGACUCCAGGAAAUGCUUGAGCAUCAAGUUCAAUCAACAUCACGAAGCCUGGGACGGAGGGUUGUUCACGUUCCCCAUAAACCUCCAUAAAGGUCUGGAAUUCCAUCAUUCACACAUGGAUAACCAUUCCCACGUGACACCCCACCACCACCAUGUGGAGCCAGAACCUAAACCCGAGGAUCAUCAUGGAAAACAAGCAGCAGAGCCAAAAGUGAACAGUGCUGAAACUGUAUCCAGAUGGUUCAAGUCAUGGAGAAUCUGCUACACUCAGCCCCAAGGCUCCUGGGUAGAUACUGGAGCCAGCCAGUUCCAACAUGCGGUCGUCUGGUCAAGGACGGGUAUCAACAACCACCUCUUUGCCAAUCUUAAAACAGAUACAGCCGCAUUUAGAUUGUGGGGCCAAUCGUUCGUGAUCUUGAAGGGAGAAAGCAAGUUAUCAGAGUCAGGGAAAUCAGAAAGAAAGUUCAAGGACUCUGGUGGUGAUGGUAUGGUGAUCAUGUCAAUGAAGAUGAAAACGAGGAAGUCUAUUUAUUCAGGGAUAGAUAAGAAUAAGCUGUCUGAGGAGAGAUGGAUUGACUGCCAUAAGAUAGCUAAACAACAGCCCCGUCCAAAGAGAAAUUGUUGGUUAAAAAUGCCCCAAGCAAAUACAGAGGAAGAACAAGGAUUUGCCCAACUGUGGGAAGACUCCUGGAAGUUCUCAAUUCAAAAAGGGAUCAAGAAGGAAGAAACGGCUUCUGUGUCUCUUUCAGGCUGGGGAGAGGCUUGGAAAUUGUUGCUUGCUCAGUAUCCCCACAGAACGUCCCUAAGAACGGCCCCAAGUGGAAAUAUGACAAACUCUUGUGGGGUCUCAAGAUUUCAACAUAGAGCUCUUUAGAACAUAUUCAGGAGAUGAAGGACUCAUGUUGGUUUUGCAGAUGUUCCUACAAGGAAUCAUCAUUAUCUCUGUACCCCCUCCCCCCUUCCACAACAGUUUCUUUAAAUCCAGACCACAAAUUACUUACAGAUUAAGUAGGAGAUGAAGGUAGAUGAAAGAAAUGUAUGUGCAAGUUGAAUAUAGCUCAGCAGAUUGUUGGAAGGAGUUUGAAAUAUUGGAAGGAUACAGAUGAGUAUCAGAGAGUAUGCCUAGGCAUGCCUUUUGAUGACUAUUUUAUAGCAUUAGUUGAAAGAGAUUUACAUGUAUUUUAGAGAAGUUUAUUAAGCAAUUUCGUAAAAUCAUGUCUUGUAUCAUAUAUGCUACAGUGCAAUAUCAUAUAUAUUUUAAUUUAAGCUAUUAGAAGUCAUUAAAAUGUAUUUUCCUUGUC